UUCCCGAGUUGUUUGAACAAGUUAAGUGUCGGGAACUCGCUCAAAUCCGAAUCGUGGAAUCUAUUCAUCACAUGGUUAAACCAAAGUACACACAGAGUCCUACAAGAUGUUCGCUGUACCCUGCAAUCACACCUGCAACCAUGUACAGUUGGACUCCGAGAUUCUCCGUCCUCCAUCGCUAGGAUCCAUCAAAUCAAAUGUCAUUU